CAGAUCUAGGUCAAAGGAGAAAAAAAAUUUUAUUGGAAGUUUGAAAAGGAAGUUAAGCUUUCGUAAACCACGGUCGAAAUCAGCUGAAAAUAGAUCAGAAUCUGCAGAAUCUAAUUAUAGUCAUGGGAGUAGUCGCAGUGCUUCCACAGAUCGCUUUAAACAUCUUCCUGGUCAUAAACUUUCUCCGUUUAAAGGAAAAUUUAUCGGACAAAAACAUUUAGCUGUUCCAGGCAGCACUCGUAGUAGCUUAAGUGAAGCUUCAGGAAUAAGCGCCUCUUCCAGCCGAACCUACAUCAAUGAAAAUUCAACUUUGGUGGUAGAAACUAAUGAAAAUGGUAUUAUUAGGUAAGUGGUUUCAUAAAUUGAAUAAUUGAAGU